rnacentral:rRNA from 1 species
UGGGGAAUCUUAGACAAUGGGCGCAAGCCUGAUCUAGCGAUGCCGCGUGAGUGACGAAGGCCUUAGGGUCGUAAAGCUCUUUCGCCAGGGAUGAUAAUGACAGUACCUGGUAAAGAAACCCCGGCUAACUCCGUGCCAGCAGCCGCGGUAAUACGGAGGGGGUUAGCGUUGUUCGGAAUUACUGGGCGUAAAGCGCGCGUAGGCGGAUUGGAAAGUUGGGGGUGAAAUCCCGGGGCUCAACCCCGGAACUGCCUCCAAAACUAUCAGUCUAGAGUUCGAGAGAGGUGAGUAGAAUUCCGAGUGUAGAGGUGAAAUUCGUAGAUAUUCGGAGGAACACCAGUGGCGAAGGCGGCUCACUGGCUCGAUACUGACGCUGAGGUGCGAAAGUGUGGGGAGCAAACAGGAUUAGAUACCCCCGUAGUCC